GUGAGGAAUAUUGGUCAAUGGACGCAAGUCUGAACCAGCCAUGCCGCGUGCAGGAUGACGGUCCUAUGGAUUGUAAACUGCUUUUGUACAGGAAGAAACCCUACUUCGUGAAGUAGAUUGACGGUACUGUAAGAAUAAGGAUCGGCUAACUCCGUGCCAGCAGCCGCGGUAAUACGGAGGAUCCAAGCGUUAUCCGGAAUCAUUGGGUUUAAAGGGUCCGUAGGCGGCUUAGCAAGUCAGUGGUGAAAUCUCCCCGCUCAACGGGGAAACGGCCAUUGAUACUACUAGGCUUGAAUUAUUAGGAAGUAACUAGAAUAUGUAGUGUAGCGGUGAAAUGCUUAGAUAUUACAUGGAAUACCAAUUGCGAAGGCAGGUUACUACUAAUAUAUUGACGCUGAUGGACGAAAGCGUGGGGAGCGAACAGGAUUAGAAACCCUAGUAGUCC
rnacentral:rRNA from 1 species